rnacentral:lncRNA from 12 species
GGGUCUGGCCGGGGAGAAUGAAGCCAGUUGCCAUCAACAGGCAUAAAUCCUGUCGUCACCAGUCCUAAGUCAGCAACACGUGUUGGGCCACUCGGUUCAAAGUUGUCAUGUCCAUUUCUUGCAUGUGCCCUCUGCGCAUUGGUAAUGGCCAGUGAGGACAUCAUCACCUGAGAUGCUUUCCUGCUCCAGGACUUCCACUUUCCUGUGAUAUCUCAUUACUCAGUAACAAGCAAGAAAUAUAAAUAACCAGGACCUGCAGAAAUCUCCCAAGUCUCAAUGCCAUUUACAACUACUCAGGUUUUGGAUUCAGAGGGAUUAAAUGAUAAUGUCUCAUGGAGGUGAGGGUGAGUCAAGAAUAAUCUUUCAAUUCCUUAUCCAUAAAUCUCCAUUUCCUUCCUACCUGUCUCUCUCUUUCUCCCCCUCUCUCAUUUUAAUUUCCCCGUGGAGGUGAAGGGGGCUGCAUCUGGGUGGCUCAGUCAGUUGAGUGUCUGACUCUUGAUUUUCACUCAGGUCAUGAUCCCAGUGUUGUGAGAUCAAAGAGUUCUGUGUCGGGCUCAGUGCUCAGCGCUCAGCAUGGAGUCUGCUGGAGAUUCUCUCCCUCUCCCUCUCCCUCUGCUCUCUCUCUCUCUCUCAAAUAAAUAAAUAAAUCUUAAAAAGAAAAUUUCCACCAUGUCUCUCUCCAUCUCUCUCUACCCCUCUGCCCAUUUGUUACCUAUCAUCUACCUGUCUAUCUAGGGUCUAGACUGAAGAAAUGAUGAUGAGUGUUUCCAGGAGAUCUGCACUUUGGGAACCAAGACGGUUGUUGUAAAUGUGUGCUUAGUAUGAAGGACAGAAGCGCAUGAAAUCCCACUCAGAAGAGCACCUGGCCCAUCAGCCCUUUACCUGUGCCCCUGCCAUGCUGGCUGUGGGAUUGUUCUCGGACCAUAUUCAACAAUGGACCCUUCCUUCCCUGGGACAGAAGACCUCCAGAAGCUCCCAUGUCACUUGCUUCUUAUGCUACCUCCAUCCCCUCAAAUCCUUACCAAUGAAUGAAGGGGAGUUUCCAUUUCUGAUGAGAUUUCAGUGAGGUGGGAUUUUCCAAACAUUAACUAUUUCAGGGUUUUUUUGGGGGGGGUUAAAAAUCUACUACGGUUUAAGAGGCUCCUGUCAAGUUUAUCCACAACUCUCGUGCUGGCUGAAACUGAAUCAUGAGUCAUGCCUAUGCCCUGAGAGUGGAAACAGGUCAGCCAGCAAUUGAAGAAGUGGGUGGCACAGUGAAAAGAACGUGGGACAUGCAUCUGCCAAUUGUUGGAUAACUAGCUGUGUGACCUUGGUUACAUCAGCUCUACUUCCUCUAAGACUCACGCGGUACAUCCUGCUGUUCCCAGAAGGUGCUGUGUCAGUCAAAUGAGACAAUGGCUGUGGGAGAGUUUUAAAAACAUUAUAUACGUAUAAGAAUACAAAUACGAAUAUAGAAUACAAAGAUACACAUUUUAUUUACAUAUAAAUUAUAUAUACAUAUGCAUGUAUGCAAACAUUUUUGACGUAGACGUAGAUGGAGAGUAGUCUAUACGGCAUAAACACCAUUUCCAUUAAGCCAGAAGCUGAAUGACUCAGACUCGCAAUGAGCAAAUGAUGAAGAAGGAAAGGUCAUGGGACAUCUAGAGGCAACACUGAGCUGAGUCAUUCUCCCGAGGCCCUCAUUACAUUGUGGCAAGUCAGUACGGGUGACAUGGGGAGGGCAUAUCAGGUGAGCAAAGGAGAGGGAGGGAGGUUGUACUUUUGUCCGUGAAGUGGCUCAGGUGGUAGAAGGUCAGUGACAAGGCAGAAACAGACUGGCGGCUGAGGACACUCCAUCGGGAGCUGUUACCCACCCAUUAACUCGUUCAAUUAGGUAGUCAUUCUUCUCACAAGUGUUGAGCACCUACUAUGUGUAACGUACUGUGGGGGCGAGGCUGUGUGACAGAGUUCUCGCCCUCCCUCAUGUAGGUAACAAAGGCCUAGUGAAGUCAAGACAAA